AGCGUAGGUGGCCUAACAUGUCAACUGUGAAAACCCGGAGCUCAGCUCCGGACUUGCAGUUGAAACUGGUAGGCUUGAGGACGGUAGAGGAAGACGGAACUGCCAGUGUAGGGGUAAAAUCCUUAGAUAUUGGCAGGAACGCCGGUGACGAAGGUGGUUUUCUGGGCCGGUUCUGACACUGAUGCUCGAAAGCCAGGGGAGCGAACG
rnacentral:rRNA from 1 species